UUUGUAAUGGUGUAAUGGCUAACACAUCAGUCCGGACUACUGAAGAUGCUGGUUCGCUCCCAGCCGCCGAAU